CAUGAAAGCAACAGUCUGCCUUGCUCUUGGCUCUGGCACUUAUGGCCAUCUUCAAUGUAGAAUGUGCCACACACCCUCAACAGGCAAGGAAACCAUGGUGUCUUAUCCCAGAUAACCCUGAAAUCAGAUGUCACCUCCUGAUCUUUCUCUGGCACUGGAAUAUAUAGCAUCUGUUUGCAUCUGCACCAACCCAAACUCUGAAUUCUUCUUCAAGUACCUAUAUAAAGAAUCCAUAGAUAUACAAAUAAGAGAGAGUGAUGACUGCUUUUCCAUAGUUGGGGCGGUGGCUUAAAUGGCAGUCAUUUUGCUCACCUACAGCCUAAAGCUCCCCAUUGCAUUUCUAUCCUCUACAGUCAUCUCUUGCAACACCACCCUGCAAAUCCUUGUCAUUUGUAACAUGAAGAGGAAACUGACAUAAAAUUUUAAAG